UACGUAGGGGGCGAGCGUUGUCCGGAAUUAUUGGGCGUAAAGGGCGCGUAGGCGGCCUGGUAAGUCUGCUGUGAAACCUUGGGGCUCAACCCCAAGCGUGCAGUGGAUACUGUCAGGCUAGAGGAUGGUAGAGGCCAGUGGAAUUCCCGGUGUAGCGGUGAAAUGCGCAGAUAUCGGGAGGAACACCAGUAGCGAAGGCGGCUGGCUGGGCCAUUCCUGACGCUGAGGCGCGAAAGCUAGGGGAGCGAACAGG
rnacentral:rRNA from 1 species